rnacentral:snoRNA from 1 species
CUGCAGCCAGUUAAGCCAACUGUGCUGCCCUCCCCAUGGCAAACAGCAGCCUCCUAGGUAGUGUAUGCAGCCUGUUGCUUGUAUAGGCUACCCUAAGGGACCCUGGAGACAGCC